rnacentral:rRNA from 1 species
CAGGCUUAACACAUGCAAGUCGAGCGGAGAGAGGUACGCUGUAGCUACUGAUCUUAGCGGCGGACGGGUGAGUAAUGCUUAGGAAUCUGCCUAUUAGUGGGGGACAACAUUUCGAAAGGAAUGCUAAUCCGCUACGUCUACGGAGAAAGCAGGGAUCUUCGGACCUUGCGCUAAGAUGAGCCUAAGUCGGAUUAGCUAGUUGGUGGGUAAAGGCCUACCAAGGCGACGAUCUGUAGCGGGUCUGAGAGGAUGAUCCGCCACACUGGGACUGAGACACGGCCCAGACUCCUACGGGAGGCAGCAGUGGGGAAUAUUGGACAAUGGGCGCAAGCCUGAUCCAGCCAUGCCGCGUGUGUGAAGAAGGCCUUAUGGUUGUAAAGCACUUUAAGCGAGGAGGAGGCUACUUUAGAUAAUACCUAGAGAUAGUGGACGUUACUCGCAGAAUAAGCACCGGCUAACUCUGUGCCAGCAGCCGCGGUAAUACAGAGGGUGCAAGCGUUAAUCGGAUUUACUGGGCGUAAAGCGCGCGUAGGCGGCUAAUUAAGUCAAAUGUGAAAUCCCCGAGCUUAACUUGGGAAUUGCAUUCGAUACUGGUUAGCUAGAGUGUGGGAGAGGAUGGUAGAAUUCCAGGUGUAGCGGUGAAAUGCGUAGAGAUCUGGAGGAAUACCGAUGGCGAAGGCAGCCAUCUGGCCUAACACUGACGCUGAGGUGCGAAAGCAUGGGGAGCAAACAGGAUUAGAUACCCUGGUAGUCCAUGCCGUAAACGAUGUCUACUAGCCGUUGGGGCCUUUGAGGCUUUAGUGGCGCAGCUAACGCGAUAAGUAGACCGCCGGGGGAGUACGGUCGCAAGACUAAAACUCAAAUGAAUUGACGGGGGCCCGCACAAGCGGUGGAGCAUGUGGUUUAAUUCGAUGCAACGCGAAGAACCUUACCUGGCCUUGACAUAGUAAGAACUUUCCAAAAAUGGAUUGGUGCCUUCGGGAACUUACAUACAGGUGCUGCAUGGCUGUCGUCAGCUCGGGUCCUGAAAUGUUGGGUUAAGUCCCGCAACAAGCCAACCCUUUUCCUUAUUUGCCAGCGAGUAAUGUCGGGAACUUUAAGGAUACUGCCAGGACAAACUGGAGGAAGGCGGGGACGACGUCAAGUCAUCAUGGCCCUUACAACCGGGCCAAACGGGCUACAACGGUCGGUACAAAGGGUUUCCGGGUUAACCAAAAAGCCGAUCUAGCCUUACCCUGAACCCGAUCCAGGAAGUGGAAUCUAAUAAUCCCAAAAAAAAGGCCCGGGAAUACCUUCCCGGGCCUCCCACACAAAGCCCGGCACACCAGGGAGCCCACCCCACCAAAACUAGCCACCCCGAACAGCAAACAGGGCAAAUACCACGGUGUGGCCCGUAU